GCGUGCUUAACACAUGCAAGUCGAACGAGAACAUGCAGUAGCAAUACUGUGAUGCUAAGUGGCGCACGGGUGAGUAAUGUAUAGGUAACAUGCCCUUAAGAGGGGGAUAACAGAGGGAAACCUCUGCUAAUACCCCAUAACCCUUCUUAUCAUAAGAUAAGUUGGCAAAGUUUUUUCGCUUAAGGAUUGGCCUGUAUAGUAUCAGCUUGUUGGUGAGGUAAUGGCUCACCAAGGCUAUGACGCUUAACUGGUCUGAGAGGAUGAUCAGUCACACUGGAACUGAGACACGGUCCAGAGUCCUACGGGAGGCAGCAGUGGGGAAUAUUGCACAAUGGGGGAAACCCUGAUGCAGCAAUGCCGCGUGGAGGAUGACACUUUUCGGAGCGUAAACUCCUUUUCUGUUAGAAGAUAAUGACGGUAUAACAGGAAUAAGCACCGGCUAACUCCGUGCCAGCAGCCGCGGUAAUACGGAGGGUGCAAGCGUUACUCGGAAUCACUGGGCGUAAAGAGCGUGUAGGCUGUUUAGCAAGUCACAAGUGAAAUCCUAUAGCUCAACUAUAGAACUGCUUUUGAAACUGCUUAACUAGAGUGUGGGAGAGGCAGAUGGAAUUUCUGGUGUAUGGGUAAAAUCCGUAGAUAUCAGAAGGAAUACCGAUUGCGAAGGCGAUCUGCUGGAACAUUACUGACGCUGAGACGCGAAAGCGUGGGGAGCAAACAGGAUUAGAUACCCUGGUAGUCCACGCCCUAAACGAUGUACACUAGUUGUUGUGGUGCUAGUCACUGCAGUAAUACAGUUAACACAUUAAGUGUACCGCCUGGGGAGUACGGUCGCAAGAUUAAAACUCAAAGGAAUAGACGGGGACCCGCACAAGCGGUGGAGCAUGUGGUUUAAUUCGAAGAUACGCGAAAAACCUUACCUGGCCUUGACAUUGAUAGAAUCCUGUAUAGAUACGGGAGUGCCGGCUUGCCGGAACUUGAAAACAGGUGCUGCACGGCUGUCGUCAGCUCGUGUCGUGAGAUGUUGGGUUAAGUCCCGCAACGAGCGCAACCCACGUCCUUAGUUGCCAGCAUUUCGGAUGGGAACUCUAAGGAGACUGCCUUCGCAAGGAGGAGGAAGGUGUGGACGACGUCAAGUCAUCAUGGCCCUU
rnacentral:rRNA from 1 species